UAGUCGUUGGUGUAUUUACAUACACUACUUCCAAUGCAUACAAGCGUAAUUACUUUGUUAUCACUUUGCAGAUUGCAGCACAUGCAUCAUAUCCAGGAAAGCCGUACGAUGAGUACUAUGGAUUUGUUGCAACCAUAGAUGUGUAUGGUUAUAAUAUAAGUCGAGGCCAAAUGAGUGUUUCUGCAGUUUGGGUUGCUAAUGUUGGAAAUUGGUCAAAAGAACGCUACAAUUCUAUACAAGUCGGUUGGAUGGUCUCUCCUGAUAUAUAUGGUGAUACACAUACUCACUUUUACACUCAUUGGACUAGAGAUGGAUACGGGAGAAGUGGGUGCUACAACAUGGAAUGCCCUGGUUUCCAAUUAGAACAAGGAUCUAAAAUAUCUCCAGGUGCCAUAAUAGAUAGUACAUCUACUACUGGUCGGUCUCGUCACACAAUUACAAUCAAAGUG